rnacentral:lncRNA from 1 species
GGACCUUGGACCAGGACCUCUGACUAAGCCUGAGUCAGGGCUGCCUUCCACUGGUCCCCACCCACCCUUGCAGGCCACUGAGCCGCCUCUCCUGGCUCAGCCUCUCCCACUUGUUGCCUCCGCCCUCAACUCCUUCAGUGACUUCCUCACCUCUUCAUAAAGUCCAGGCUCUCGUCUUCUCUCCGGCUGCCCCCGACAGUGCCCCGCACCCAGCCCCUCCCACCACCUGUCUCCCAUCUUCCCAGCCUGUCCUCCUCCUGCCCCACUGCCUCACCGUACUCCUGCUCCUCGGGUGCUCCUGAUGGCCUCUAACUGUCCUUCAAACCCAGCCCAGUAGCAGGUCUUCUCAAAGGCUUCCUGCCAUCCCUUCCCUUCCCUGGGUAAGGAAACUGAAGCCUCAGGCGAAGAGAUGAUUUCAAAGAACUUCAGAGCUAAGAGUCUUCUUCGACUAAAGUAGGCCCCCAUGUUUCCUGGGAGAGGUGGAGCUUGAGGCUUGAGUGGGCUUAAAAAACAAUGAGGAUUCUGACAAACACAAAAGAGGGAGAGAAAGAGAGAGAAUUAGAGCAUUCCAGGCAGCAGGGGACUGAGAUAAAGGAAGGCCAGGAGGCAGGAAAGACUAGGAAGUGACUGGCAAGACUAGGCGGUUUAGUAGAGAAUCCAAGGUAUAUGCUUACACAAAUUACUGGGCAAGGUGACUCACACCUGUAAUCCCAGCACUUUGGGAGGCCAAGGUGGGAGGACUGCUUGAGCCCAGGAGUUUGCGACCAGUUUGGAAAACAUGAGGAGACCCCAUCUCUAUUUAAAAAAAGGAAAGGAA